rnacentral:rRNA from 1 species
GACGUAGGAGGCGAGCGUUGUCCGGAUUCAUUGGGCGUAAAGAGCUCGUAGGUGGUUCGGUAAGUCGGGUGUUAAACCCCCAGGCUCAACCUGGGGACGCCACUCGAUACUGCUGUGACUAGAGUCCGGUAGGGGAGCGUGGAAUUCCUGGUGUAGCGGUGAAAUGCGCAGAUAUCAGGAGGAACACCAGCGGCGAAGGCGGCGCUCUGGGCCGGUACUGACACUGAGGAGCGAAAGCGUGGGUAGCAAACAGG